AACCUUAAACUACUAUCAAAAUAAGUGUUAACUGAGGUGUUAAAAUGGAGAGAUGUGUACUACUGAUUGUCGUAUUACUUUCAGGUGCAUUUGCUGACAGCAUUAGUCCAGUUAACCAGGAUGUGAUCAGAACAGAAGGAGAGUCUGUGACACUGAGCUGCUCAUAUGAUACAAGCAGCAAUUAUGUUUUACUUUACUGGUACAGACAGUAUCUAAACCGAGAACCGGAAUAUUUACUGUAUAAAGGUGCUCGAUCAAACAGGGGUUUAGAUGGUAUACCAGACGACCAUCGGUUUCAGGCGACUGCAUCUCAAUCAUCCACUGAUCUCACUAUUACUGGUGUAACUCUGUCAGAUUCAGCUCUCUAUUAUUGUGCUCUAAGAGUUGGAGCCCAGUGAUACAAAAUGCCUGAGAGGCUUUACAAAAACACACAUACUGUUAUUGCUUCGAACAACAGCAAUCAAACGAGCAUCAAACCACAGAAAUAUC